AUCAUAGCCAUGGCCUAUAACCUGGGCUUCACGAUCUAGGCUAUUGGAUCUUGAGUCCAGGAGUUCUGAGCUACAGUAGUCUUCGUAGAUCUGGUAUUUGCACUAAGUUUCACAUCAAUAUGGUGAGCCCUUGGGAAGGGCCACCAGGUUACCUAAGGAGGGGAAAACUGGUCCAGAUCAGAACCCGAGCAGGUCAAAACUACCAAGCCAAUCAGGGGUGGGAUCUGGCCUGUGAGUAGCCCUUGCACUUCCAGUAUGUACAAGAAGGUAGACACAACCUUU
rnacentral:SRP_RNA from 1 species